rnacentral:rRNA from 1 species
UUGGAGGGCAAGUCUGGUGCCAGCAGCCGCGGUAAUUCCAGCUCCAAUAGCGUAUAUUAAAGUUGUUGCAGUUAAAAAGCUCGUAGUUGAAUUUCGGAAUCAAUAUGUUGGUCGUGCCAUUGGUACGUACUGGCAUUAUUGGUUUCUACCUUCUGAAGAACCUCGAUGUCAUUAAUUUGGUGUCUUGGGGAAUCAGGACUGUUACUUUGAAAAAAUUAGAGUGUUUAAAGCAGGCUCGCGCUUGAAUACAUUAGCAUGGAAUAAUGAAAUAGGACGUUUGAUUCUAUUUUGUUGGUUUCUAGGAUCGACGUAAUGAUUAAUAGGGAUAGUUGGGGGCAUUAGUAUUCAAUUGUCAGAGGUGAAAUUCUUGGAUUUAUUGAAGACUAACUACUGCGAAAGCAUUUGCCAAGGAUGUUUUCAUUAAUCAAGAACGAAAGUUAGGGGAUCGAAGACGAUCAGAUACCGUCGUAGUCUUAACCAUAAACUAUGCCGACUAGGGGUCGGAUGAUGUUAAUUUUUUAAUGACUCAUUCGGCACCUUACGGGAAAC